CGAAGUGAAUUGAAAUAUCUUAGUAACUUUAGGAAAAGAAAUCAAACGAGAUUGUUAUUUGGUGUAAACUAAAUAACAAAAGCCUAGUAACAAAACUUGUUAAAGUAAAAUGGAUUAAAAUCUGUUUGAAUAAAGGGGAACCUUCCUCUAAGGCUAAAUAUAAUAUAUAAGCGAUAGUGAAUAGUACCGUGAGG
rnacentral:rRNA from 2 species